rnacentral:rRNA from 1 species
ACCGCGACCCCAGGUCAGGCGGGACUGCCC